rnacentral:sRNA from 1 species
GCUGGGCAUGGUGGCACAUGCCUGUAAUCCCAGCAACUGGGGAGCCUGAGGCAGAAGAAUCACAAGUUCAAAGCCAGCCUCAGCAAUUUAGCGAGGCUCUGAGCAACUCAGUGAGACUCUGUUUCUA